UUCGUCAUUUGGGCAAAAAAUAAAAAAAAAAACACACACACUUCUUGUGUUUCUGCUCAUGAGCCCAUAAAUAUUUACAUGUGUGGAUAUGCGGAGUCAUUAUCUUUCACCCGAAACAUAAUCUCCGGCCGAGUGCAAAUUGUUCUCGCCUCCGCCGCAAGAAUGAUGGACUUCUAUGGAUUGGUUCUGCGAUGUGGGAUGUUCAAUGUUGGAUGUGUUUCUGAUGGCGUCGCCGCAGCUGGCUUAAAUCAAUCCCAGCUCCCGUUCAUUAUUUUUUAUUCACUGUAUGUAUGUAUGUAUGUAGGUAUUUUCCAGCUGAAGCGGGAGCAUUAAUAUCAUUGGGUCCCAAGGGAUUGGCCACAUGUGCAGUUUGCCGGUUUGCCGGCCGCCGAGGACAAAUGUCAGCGAACGGGACGCGGUUUUUCACAUUUUCAGCGAUUUCCACGAACCGAGCCCACAUCCCAACCGCCCUGGGCUGUGCAGUGGAACCACCCUAAUGUGAAGUCAGGGAAUUCUAGCGUAUAUGCUUGCAUACUUCUACUGAGCACCUGUAUGUAGCUAGAAUUUCUUUCCAUGAAUUUCUUACCAGAUGGCUGGCAAUUUCCGCUCUAGCGAGGCCGCACUGUGCGCGAUAUGUGUGAUAGAUGUAACACGUAUCCUGGGAGUGGAUGAAGGGCGCAUUAAUCGCCGCACGAUGAGCACACUGAUAUGGCUGUCGCAGAUGAUAAUGGCAAUACAACUGACUGCACAAUGAGCUGACCAUAUGCGCACAUAGACAAUAAAAUACGAAUGCGAAUGCGAGUGUGAGUAUAUGCCACCCCAUUUUUGAAGGCCGCCCCGGUGCAUUUGACAGUGGGCGAAGUUGCGCUUCAUGUGGAUGCGGAUGUAGCCAAGGACGAGGAUGAGGAUGAGGAUGAGGACGAGUAGUGGGAUUGGGAGUGGGAUGUGGCAAGUAGUAGGCAUUGGACAAACGUAGCACAUUUAAUGAACAUGCCGACAUGAGUUAUGGCUCGUUUGUUCGACUUUUCUUUUAUUUUUUCUCUUUUUUGGUCAGUAGUUGAGCUACCCUUGAAGUGGGCAUAUGUACAUAAACAAUUCAGGCGAUUUGAUUUUAUUCACCAGAUCGAAUUACGGGUGGAAACACUUCAGUGGUUGAUUUCGAACAUGUGCCAGUUUCGAACAAACGUUUUUGAAGCAUCUGAUUAAAUGCCGCUUGAUAGAUGAUACCAAUUAUUCAAAAGCUGUCUAAAAGUAGACUUUAAAUUCGCACGAAAUAUGGCAAAUCGGGCACACAGCUGCUGGUUGACAUCCCAUUUGGUGAUCUAUCUGCGCGCUGCGAAUGCAAAUGAUAUUUCGCAUUAACUUUGAUGGAGAUGAGCGAAUUCCGAUUUGCGGCGACACAGACUGAGACACCCCAAUCGCAGUAUAUCAGACAUUCGGAAUCUCCGGUGUGCCGUCCACAGAACUUUGUUUCCAUCCAAGAGCCAAAUGCCCAGCCCCCUGGGCACAAAGUGCCAAGUCAGACGGAUGCAGACAUAUCUCUCAUUUAGCAUACCGUACUUUGCAGCUCAUCUUUAUUUCUUGGCAAGUUGUGUGCAAUUCAUUAAAAGCGAAAUCUGCUCGAAUGCGAAUAAUGCAAAU
ensembl:ncRNA lncRNA:CR44517 long non-coding RNA:CR44517